AUACGUAGGGGGCGAGCGUUGUCCGGAAUGAUUGGGCGUAAAGGGCGCGUAGGCGGCCCGGUAAGUCUGGAGUGAAAGUCCUGUUUUUAAGAUGGGAAUUGCUUUGGAUACUGUCGGGCUUGAGUGCAGGAGAGGUAAGCGGAAUUCCCAGUGUAGCGGUGAAAUGCGUAGAGAUUGGGAGGAACACCAGUGGCGAAGGCGACUUACUGGACUGUAACUGACGCUGAGGCGCGAAAGUGGGGGGAGCAAACAGGAUUAGAUACCCUGGUAGUCCACACUGUAAACGAUGAAUGCUAGGUGUAGGGGGUAUCGACCCCUUCUGUGCCGCAGUCAACACAAUAAGCAUUCCGCCUGGGGAGUACGGCCGCAAGGUUGAAACUCAAAUGAAUUGACGGGG
rnacentral:rRNA from 1 species